rnacentral:lncRNA from 1 species
GUUAACUUUUACAAAAAUCUUCUCCUCUGAAACUACUGGGCCAAAUUUAACCAAACUUGACCAAACUCAUCAUUGGGGUAUCUAGUUUAAAAAAUGUGUGGGGUGACCCGGCUAACCAACCAAGAUGGCCGCCACGGCUAAAAAUAGAACAUAGGGGUAAAAUGUAGAUUUUGGCUCAUAUCUCUGAAACCAAAGCAUUUAGAGCAAAUCUGACAGGGGUAAAAUUGUUUAUCAGGUCAAGAUCUAUCUGCCCUGAAAUUUUCAGAUGAAUCGGU